rnacentral:rRNA from 1 species
CAGUAGCCACGGUAAUACGAAGGGGGCUAGCGUUGCUCGGAAUCACUGGGCGUAAAGGGUGCGUAGGCGGGUCUUUAAGUCAGGGGUGAAAUCCUGGAGCUCAACUCCAGAACUGCCUUUGAUACUGAAGAUCUUGAGUUCGGGAGAGGUGAGUGGAACCGCGAGUGUAGAGGUGAAAUUCGUAGAUAUUCGCAAGAACACCAGUGGCGAAGGCGGCUCACUGGCCCGAUACUGACGCUGAGGCACGAAAGCGUGGGGAGCAAACAGGAUUAGAUACCCCAGUAGUCCCUGUCUCUUAUAC